UAGCGAGCUGUAUAAAACUAGACGUUGAAUUUGUGUCUUCAGUCGUCAGUGGUAACCCAUACCUUGAUUAUAUUGUGCUCUUUCAGUCUCUCGCUGUACGCUACAAGGACAAAUAGCAUUGCUGUAUAUUGGAUUCGCUUACAUUAAACAUUUAUUGGCGUGGCAAUGCGAACUUAUACAGUUGAAAUACUUCGGUUUUACACUAAAAUUAUCAGUAAAUAUAUGCGAUUUUAAAAUUCAUUUAAUUCGUGCGGGAACAGGAAAUAAAAUUGCCUCUAGGCACAGUGUGUUUCAAAAUAAUUUUGCUACUUUUUAUAUAGAGCUAUAUUUAUGCUGAAAUGACGAUGGAUAAUAUAGUUUAAUGAAUUUGUGAGUGAUAUAUGAACAUAUAGACAAGAUAAAAUGGGCGGAUCAUCAGAGUUAAUCAUCCAGCAAACUCUCCGCUUCAUGUGACAAACGCUUUGGGAGUCGGUUGUGUUUUACCUCACGUACUUCUGCUGUGAAGUUGCUCCUACUCCGGCCGAAACAUCGACUGGCUCUUGGCGGGCGUCGCCAUACUUGCUCUCGGCGCUGCCUCCUCGCUCACUAGGGGCGGAGCCUUCCUCCCGGAGCCGACUCCGACUCAGCGUCAACCGGCGUCGCGGCGAUCCCCCACCUCGUGGCCGCCACACGUGGUUCUUCGGAAUCGGACGAAUAGCGCUCCUGAAAUUAAGGGAAAGUUACUUGCAGUUCUGGUGGUUGUUCCAUUCAUGCACUGAAGUCAGACUAGUGGUUAGGAGCGCUGGGUGGUCAUGCAAGAUAUCAAUGCUACUCGUUGUUUCACAUAUGGAGGAAGGACCCUAAGGGAAGCGGCUUGAGAAGAAACCUGCUAAGCCAUCAUCACAGAAUAGUACAAUUAAAAUGUUCCUGCUUACUUAGAGCGCAGGUAAUUUUUAUA